rnacentral:lncRNA from 1 species
CUCGUAAGACGUAUGGGUAAUUAUUACUGGUAAUCAGAAGUGAUAAAACUGUAGUACGCGCGAUUUCAUGCGUUUUGAUAUUUUGGGCUUAAUGGGCCAAAACUGGGUUAAUGGGCCAACGGGCCCAAUUCGGUAAGAACGCUUGGUAAGUGUUUCUGGCUAAACGUAACGGCUACGAUAUGCAUAAAAACCUUAGAAAUAGUUAGAUUUACUAGAAUACCCCUAUGUAUGCAAAAUUACCAUUAUACCCCUAUGUGUGCAAAAUGACCUUUAUACCCCUAG